rnacentral:rRNA from 1 species
UGGGGGAUAUUGCACAAUGGGGGGAACCCUGAUGCAGCGACGCCGCGUGAGUGAAGAAGUAUUUCGGUAUGUAAAGCUCUAUCAGCAGGGAAGAAGAUGACGGUACCUGACUAAGAAGCCCCGGCUAACUACGUGCCAGCAGCCGCGGUAAUACGUAGGGGGCAAGCGUUAUCCGGAAUUACUGGGUGUAAAGGGAGCGCAGGCGGUGCGGCAAGUCUGAAGUGAAACCCCUAGGCUCAACCAAGGGAUUGCUUUGGAAACUGUCGGACUAGAGUGUGGGAGAGGCAGGCGGAAUUCCUAGUGUAGCGGUGAAAUGCGUAGAUAUUAGGAGGAACACCAGUGGCGAAGGCGGCCUGCUGGACCAAGACUGACGCUGAGGCUCGAAAGCGUGGGGAGCAAACAGG